GCAAUGAACACCCACACUUGAGAUGAAUAACUUACAUUUCAGUUUUUUUCCUCUUCUUCCCCCUGAGAGAAAGUAGAGUUCUUCACCCUCACUAUGUAGUGCUGCAGGAUUACCUGACACUGGAACUAAAAUUGCAAGGGAACUGUGGGUAUGGAGGGCUGACCUGAAGCACUCUGGGGACUGAGGCUCUCUGCAAAAAACAAGAACGAGGACAGAAUUACUUCCAUAGAAUGCUACUUGGAUUCAGGUGGACCUGAUGUGAUGGAUGACACACAGGAUCUACGGUACAGAUUUGUCCAGCAUGAUGAUCUAUCUUUCCACAGCCUGGAAUACUCCCUGGUGGAGCUGGAUAUCCAAGAGUCACAGCUCAGAGCCCUGCCCUGCUCCAUGAAGGAGAAACAAUCCCUCAGAAAGCAACUGAGAGCAUUCACAGGGAGAAAUGUGUCCAGCUG